rnacentral:snoRNA from 1 species
CCUCUAGAAGAUGAAGAACUGGUGGAAUAUAUUCUCAUCGGGCUAGAUGAAGAAUAUGACUCGGUGGUUUCCUUGGUCCUUGCUCGAUCUGAGUCAGUUUCUGUAAGCGAGCUGUGCUCCCAGCGGCUCGUGUUUGAGA